AAGUCGUAACAAGGUUUCCGUAGGUGAACCUGCGGAAGGAUCAUUAAUAAUAGAAACGCCUCCGGGCGGCUUCUAAACCCUUGAUUUAAUUACUAUUGUUGCUUUGGCAGGCCGCGGUUUACCGCAUAGGCUUCGGUCUAUUGUGCUUGCCAGAGAACCCAACUCUGAGUUUAGUGAUGUCUGAGUACUAUUUAAUAGUUAAAACUUUCAACAACGGAUCUCUUGGUUCUGGCAUCGAUGAAGAACGCAGCGAAAUGCGAUAAGUAAUGCGAAUUGCAGAAUUCAGUGAGUCAUCGAAUCUUUGAACGCACAUUGCGCCCCUUGGUAUUCCGAGGGGCAUGCCUGUUCGAGCGUCAUUUCACCACUCAAGCCUAGCUUGGUAUUGGGAUUCGCGGUUUCGCGGUCCUUAAAAUCAGUGGCGGUGCCUGUAGGCUCUGAGCGUAGUAAUCUUCUCGCUAUAGUCCCCUACAGGUUGCUUGCCAACAACCCCAAAUUUUUCAGGUUGACCUCGGAUCAGGUAGGGAUACCCGCUGAACUUAAGCAUAUCAAUAAGCGGAGGAAAAGAAACCAACAGGGAUUACCUCAGUAACGGCGAGUGAAGCGGUAACAGCUCAAAUUUGAAAUCUGGCUCUUUCAGGGUCCGAGUUGUAAUUUGUAGAAGCUGCUUUGGGUGCGGUCCGGGUCUAAGUUCCUUGGAACAGGACGUCAUAGAGGGUGAGAAUCCCGUAUGUGACUCGGUGCCUAUCCUAUGUAAAGCGCUUUCGACGAGUCGAGUUGUUUGGGAAUGCAGCUCAAAAUGGGUGGUAAAUUUCAUCUAAAGCUAAAUAUUGGCCAGAGACCGAUAGCGCACAAGUAGAGUGAUCGAAAGAUGAAAAGCACUUUGGAAAGAGAGUUAAACAGUACGUGAAAUUGUUGAAAGGGAAGCGCUUGCAACCAGACUUGCGCCCUAUCGAUCAUCCGAGGUUCUCCCCGGUGCACUCGGUAGGGCCCAGGCCAGUAUCGGUUUCGGUGGUGGGAUAAAGGCUUAGGGAAUGUGGCUUCUCUCGGGAAGUGUUAUAGCCCUAGGUGCAGUGCCGCCUACCGGGACCGAGGACCGCGCUUCGGCUAGGAUACUGGCGUAAUGGUUGUAAGCGACC
rnacentral:rRNA from 1 species